GACCGCGUAGCUCAGUUGGAAGAGCAUUGGGCUAGUAUUCCAAAGGUCGUAGGUUCGAUUCCCACCGUGGUCA